GACGAACGCUGGCGGCGUGCCUAAUACAUGCAAGUCGAACGAAGCUGUUUUAACUGGUGCUUGCACCGACUUAAACAACUGAGUGGCGAACGGGUGAGUAACACAUGGGUAACCUGCCCCAAAGCGGGGGAUAACAUUUGGAAACAGAUGCUAGUACCGCAUAAUCACAGAAACCACAUGGUUUCUGUGUCAAAGAUGGUUUCGGCUAUCACUUUGGGAUGGACCCGCGGCGUAUUAGCUAGUUGGUAAGGUAAUGGCUUACCAAGGCAAUGAUACGUAGCCGAACUGAGAGGUUGAUCGGCCACAUUGGGACUGAGACACGGCCCAAACUCCUACGGGAGGCAGCAGUAGGGAAUCUUCCACAAUGGACGAAAGUCUGAUGGAGCAACGCCGCGUGAGUGAAGAAGGUUUUCGGAUCGUAAAACUCUGUUGUCAGAGAAGAACGUGUGCGAGAGUAACUGUUCGUGCAGUGACGGUAUCUGGCCAGAAAGCCACGGCUAACUACGUGCCAGCCGCCGCAGUAA
rnacentral:rRNA from 1 species